GACGAACGCUGGCGGCGUGCUUAACACAUGCAAGUCGAACGGAAAGGCCCUGCUUUUGUGGGGUGCUCGAGUGGCGAACGGGUGAGUAACACGUGAGUAACCUGCCCUUGACUUUGGGAUAACUUCAGGAAACUGGGGCUAUACCGGAUAGGAGCUCCUGCUGCAUGGUGGGGGUUGGAAAGUUUCGGCGGUUGGGGAUGGACUGGCGGCUUAUCAGCUUGUUGGUGGGGUAGUGGCUUACCAAGGCUUUGACGGGUAGCCGGCCUGAGAGGGUGACCGGCCACAUUGGGACUGAGAUACGGCCCAGACUCCUACGGGAGGCAGCAGUGGGGAAUAUUGCACAAUGGGCGGAAGCCUGAUGCAGCAACGCCGCGUGCGGGAUGACGGCCUUCGGGUUGUAAACCGCUUUCGCCUGUGACGAAGCGUGAGUGACGGUAAUGGGUAAAGAAGCACCGGCUAACUACGUG
rnacentral:rRNA from 1 species